UCUAAAAUGGCAGAUAAGUGCAAUGGAUUUAAGCUCCAUACAUGAGAAUGAGACUUUCUCUUUUAGAA
rnacentral:tRNA from 1 species